rnacentral:lncRNA from 1 species
UUUUAAAAAUUAAAAAGAUCUUUGGAUUUCAACCCAUUUGUUUGGCCUUAAAAGAGCCAGUAUUAUUACCAUUUGAAUUAGCCUUCGCCUCAACUUCAACUUUAUUCUUUCCAUGCAACCUUGGUCGAUAUCAACUAGAAUUUUGCUAUGUUAAUUAUUUCAAUCCCCCACAUUAUGCAGUCUUUGUAGUGUAAACUUAAUUUCACACCUAAAUAAGUUGAUGAUCAUUACUCAACCAUUAAUAUUUCAAAAAGUCAUUUCACCAUCCAUGCUAUUAGUUUUUCCCUUAAAUUUAACUAUUGACUAUUUUACCAUCUUAAAGUAUAUAAUUAUGCCUUUAAUUAUGUGAUACAAUUAUGAGAAUAUUCAUUUCAGCUUAAAAUAACUAGAAUACCCAAAAAAAUAACUUAAAUUAAUAAAAUAAAACUAUCAACUCCUUAAAGGAUUCAACAUAUAUGAUCUGAUCUUACUAAGAUUGAGGUCGUCUGUCUUGGUCUUAUUGAGGUCCAACAUGAAUAAAUUAUAUGACCCGAUCCUAUUAAGACUGAGAUCAUCAUUUUAGCUUUGUUGAGUUCUAAUAUGAAUAAAUUAUAUUAUCCGAUCUUAUUGAGAUAGAGGCCAUCAUUCUGGACUUUUUGAGGUCCGAUGUGAAUAAAUUAUAUGUUCGAUUUUAUUGAGAUUGAGGUCAUCAUUUUGGUUUUGUUGAGGUCCAAUGUGAAUAAAUUAUAUGAUCUGAUCUUAUUGAGAUGGAAGUUACCAUCUUGGCCUUAUUGAGAUCCAAUUGAUUUUGUUCUACUAGGCUUUUCGAGAUCUAGCUUGUUAUAAUUGUUUUGGUCCUAUUAAGGUCCAAAGGUAAGAACUAUGAUAUGAUCUUAUUAAGAUCAAGGUCAUCAAUUUUGAUAUUAUUGAGGUCCAACCUAAUUUAGUUAUUUGAUCCCUUGAUUUAAUUAUUUGAUCCAAUCUUAUUGAGAUUGAAUUUGAAAAUUUUUUGGACUCCAUUUUAGCCUUAUUGAGGUCCAAUUGAUAUUGUUCUACUAGCCUUAUUAAGGUUUGGCUUGUUAAAGUUGUUUUGGCCUUUUUGAGGUCCAACGUGAACAAGAAUGAUCUAGUCUUAUUGAGAUCGAGACCAUCAUUUAGCCUUACUGUCGUAAUGAAUUCAAAUCCUAUUGAUGUCAAUACGUAAGUGUACACAACAAAUAAUAUAAUAAUAAGUAGACGAGAUCAUCUCCAUGAGGAUUGAUGAUAUUAGACUUGCUAUAAUAAUCUCAACAAUGCAAUUUUGCUUUAAUUGAAAAUAAAACUAAUAAUAAAGCUAAUAACUUAAUUAAUUAAAAUAAAAUGCAAUAAAGUCAAUUCUCACAUCACACACAAGGAUAAAACCAAUGGGAAUAGAGUAGUUGAAUGAUUAAACUCACUUAAUAGUUUUGACUAUUUUUCUAAUAUUUGGUUCAGUUGCUACGACAUUUGCUACAAUAUUGGGCAGAAUCUUUAUGUAUCAUCAGCUGUCGCAUGUUGGAUGUCUUAUAUCUUUAUGCAACCUAAUAGUGACCAAUUGUUAUACUAACAUAAGAUAUAGCAUUACAUGCUUAGGUUUUAAUUACCCUAUAAGGUGAAUCUCUAUGUCUAGUUCAUCACUAAUUUUAGAUUAAGCAUGACCCUUUUGGAAUCAAGUAAAACUCAACUCAGGAAAUCCAAUCUAAAACCAAGUAUUGUUUUGAUAUAUUUCACUAAGAUAGGCCCUUUUGUGGCUCUUUCCUACCUAGUACCAUUAAAUAUGUGAUCAACCAAAUUAAUGAAUAGAAAUAAGUAUUAUCAAAACAAAGUGCUAUAGCAAACAUGCAGCAACACAUAUAAUUAGUCAAUGAACCAUUAAGAUUGUUUAUCAUUCAACCACAAAUGAAUUUAAUUCAUAGUUUGCGAAAGAAAAAUAAACAAAAGAGUUUCAGUCAUCAAAUACAUCCUCGAGUAAAUGAGGAAACAAGAAAAGAAUAUGAAAGACUGAUUUCCUGAUUGAUUUCUGCAAUUUUUCCUCUGAUGCAGCCUUAAAUCUUGCUCUUGAAUUCUAUUUUUCUCUUGUUUCUUUUUGGUGUUUAUUCUUGGUUGACGGCUCCCCCUUUUCUUUUGCAUGUGUGCUUUUUUUAUAGUUAAAAAUUAGGGCAACCGCAAGUUUAGGGCAUGCAUUUUCCAGAUUUGCUAUAGCAGCGGCUACAACAUCUACAUUAUUCUAGACUUUUUUCAAUUCUUCUGUAGCCAAGUUCUUUCUUUAUUUUUGCAAGCGCAUUACAACAGCAUCCCUUCUUUGAAAUUUGAGCUUCCGAUUACCUACAAUUAUAUAUAUGAUCUAAGCACACAAUUAUUCUAAAACAACGCAAUUUAUUAAAAAUAAACUAAAAUGGAUAUUAAUGCAAAAUAUAAAUAAAAAUGCAAUAAAAACAUAUCAUUUACUCUCUAAGUAAUCUUGAUUUAAGUCUAAAAAUACCAUAAUAACCCUCAUUUCAUAGAGUUAUCACUUACUGAGGUCCAAAGUCUGACCAAAAUAUCUACUGGUCUGACCUAGAAACCUUAAUUGCCAACGUAGAGAUAUAACAAUCUCACCUGAAAAUAUAUUUAUCGAGGUCAUGUCAAGUGUGCUAUGCCUACCUGGAGAUCUGUCAAUCUGACUUGAAUAUCUGUUUGUCCAGGUCAUGUCAAACAUGCUCUGUCUAUUUGGAGAUCUGCCAAUCUGACUUGAAAAUCUAUUUGUCCAUGUCAUGUCAAACAUGCUCUAAACAUGUCCUAUUCUUUAGAGAAGUUAAGUGUUUUGACCUUUUAAACCACCUUCAACUGAUAGAGGCUACCUGCAACUGCUAAGAGAGUGAGCUAAAAUUGAGGAAAUAACGACCCAGAACUAGAAGUCUAUUUUAAGCUAUAAAUGGUGUUAGAGGAGGGGGUUUGCAAAUUCGACUGGAAGCUCUAAAAAGUUACGAACCACUUAAUCAUCUGCCUCUUACGUGACGUUCAGAACAACACCAAAAAUAUCCCUUGAAUUCUUGCUUAUUUUUAGUUUUUGCAGUCCAUUUUCCUUCCUUUAUAUAUCAAAUAUCUGACUUAGGCAUUAGAGAAUCUAUAAAAGACUCUUUCAACAUAUCCUAACCGUGUUUUAGGAUUGGCAGAUGUGGUGAGAUGCAUUUAGAUCGGUGUCUGAGUUUGGAUUCGUGCUAUUAUUCCCUAAAAAAAAAAUUCAGCUGUUGAGAUUAUUUUUCAGCAUUAACAGUUAAUAAGCUAAAUCAAAAAUAAAAAUAUUACUAAGACUCCUAUUCAAUGACAAUAUGUCAUAUGAAAAAAAAAGUGGUAAUAAUUUAUAAUGGAAAAAAAAUUACAAAGCAAAAGAGCCCCCACCCACAUAAAAUUUUUUAGCCUAGUUUAAAAGAGAGAGACUAUCAAAACAAAAACAAAAAAAUUGAAUGUAGACCAUCACAACCAUUUUUUUUUACCAUGCUUGCUUCUUCUACUGUUUUUUUAAAACUAUUUUUAUUCAUUAACAUGUACUUUAUUUUUACAAUAAUAUUUGUGUAUAAAAUGACAUUAUAUAUAUAAAAAGUUAUGAAUAAAAUGUUCAAGAAUCAAAUUAGACUUUAUUUAUUUAACUUAUCAUAUUUUAUUUGAAAACUCAAACAAAAAACAAAAUUCAAACUUUGCAAGUGCCAUGACACCCUCUAACCUUACAUGCUCUCAACCCUGACCAGAAAGAAGAAAUAAAAUGACUAACCACAUAUAGGGAUAGCAAAAUCCGGGUCCGGGUCCGGGUCCGAGUUUAGCCUUUCCGGAUCCGGACCCGGAUACCAUUUCUUUUCUCGGACCUGGAUUUUAACCCGGAUUUUUUCACCCGGUUCCGGGUCCGGGUCCGGGUUCAACCUGGAAAAAUCCGGGUUUUGAACCCGGAUCAAUGAAUCAAUAUCAAUUUCUAAAAUUCUAAAAAUAAAAAAUUAAUACAUUUCCAAGCAAUAACACAUCUAGAUUUAUCAAUAAAAUUAAUUAAAAAAUAAUAUUAAAAUUAGAUAUCUGGGUCCGGGUUUUGGAUGUCCGGGUUAACCUAAACCCGGACCCGGAUAUAUCCAGGUUAUUAAAAUUUAUUCCGGACCCGGAAUUUUUUACAUUCUAGUACGGGUUCAACCCUGCCCGGAUUAUCCGGGUUCGUCCGGGUCCGGGCCGGGUCCGGGCCGGGUCCUGGUUAUUUUGCCAUCCCUGGUCCACAUACUUGUGGUGGAUGCUGAAGCUGCAGAUGUUAAGAAUCUGCUCUUGACUGUCCCAAAAAAAAUGCGAUGAAACUGCUAGUUUACAUGUUGCUCAAAACUGGUUUCGCGAUCAAAGAGAGCAUAUAUCUCACCCAAUAUACGCUCAUACAUGUAUGUCCUUAAUAUCUUCCUCAACAAAAUGGCGAGUUAGAGGUUGAAAACUAGUAAGCUCGACUUGAGGAUAAAAACCAUUUCGCAUCAAUUUUUUCACCCAACUUUUCCUUCCAUGCAUUAUCCCAUUUAAAUCCCCAAUUCCUUAGUUUCCUCAUAUGUCAGCUCAGUUUUCGGAAUGUGGAAGUGCUUGAGGAUAUCUGCAAUAAUGUUACCAAAGGCAAGGUGUUUGACAAUAGAUAGCUUGUGGGUAUCAUGUUCUAAAUAAUAAGGUACCCAAUAUUGACUUUCAUUUCUCUCAACAAAUAAUCGAGCAAUGCAAUAUCCAACUGUGUUAGGUGUUAUCUCAUCGACAUGGCCCUUUCGAGGACUAUUAACAUGAUGCGGAACAGUGUGAAACAUGCACACUCGAAGGAACAACAGUUGUGAGCAGAUAUCCAUAUCACAGAUAUCAUUUGUAACAACUUGAAUGUCGUCAAAGCCCUCAAAUUCUUUUUUUUUUUUAAGAUGAAAAGAUCUGAAAGCCACUAUCAUGGGUUCCUAAUAUCCAAUUUGGUGUAGACACAUAAAAGAAGAUUGGCUUCCCAUAUACACAGAGGUGGUUAUCUGAUUCUGUUCGAAUUGGUUGGAGUCCAUAUAAAGUUUUAGUGCACAUGGUUAUUUGCCCAACCGACUUCUUGAAACAUAUGAUAUGAAGUUUGAGGACAUACAACCAGAUGACUCAACUUAUCCAUGUUGACAUGAAAAGCGGAGAGUACCUGGCGGUCCAUGAACAGAAAGAAGAACUUCUUGUCCAUACAGGUUUCUAAAAAUUGAAGGAGCUGGCAGCUUCAUCGGGUGGUGAGCCACUUGCUUUCUAUCCCAAAAUUAUGUUUAUUUAUAAUAAGGUGGUUAGCCGACUUAAUUGUAACGGUUAGUAGUUUGCUAGAGUUGGCAAUGGGACAUGACUUGAUAAUCUUGAUCAAAGGUGCUUGAGGCAGCUGAUUGAUGUAGGAAGUUAAUUUUGGUUAAUUUAGAAAUUUUAAGAUUCUAGAAUUUUAUUUUGGGACUUUUUAUUUUCAUUAGAAUCAAUUAUCGUAUUUUAUUAUUUUAGGGCUUUCUAUUUUCAUUAGAGUUAAUUAAGGUAUGAGAUUUAGUUAACUUAGGGAAGUAUCUUUUAUUUCAAUUAUAAUUGUGAUUUAGUUUCCCUUUUUAAGUUAACUUGGAGAAGUGGGUUUCCUUAUUAUAAAUAGAGAAGUUUCGCAAUUAUUUUUAUAAUUUAGAUUUAAUUAUUCAAUAAAACACCUAUUUAUAAUUCCCUCUGGGUAUUAUCUAUCAAAAUCUCUCUUGUAGAGUCGUUUGGAUUAGAGCGUCAUCUAAUCUCGCGUUACACGUUAUUAAAAAUCUCAUUUAGUCAUUUGGUUUAGAACGAUAUCAAAUCAUACUUCAAUUAGAGCGUAACCUAAUUGAAAUGCAAGUUAUGCAACCUAAGAGGGGGGGUGAAUUGGGAUUUUAAAAUUAUGCAAUACAAUUCGCACAACAAGUUAAUCUAUUGCCUUAAUCAAAUCAAAAAUAAUAAAUUCAAUCAAGCACAAUAUUAAAAGAGUAAAGGAAGAGAAAACAAACACAAGGAUUUUUACGUGGUUCGGCUAUCCCCGCCUACGUCCACGCCUCCAAGCACACCCGGCUUGAGGAUUUCACUAUCCAAGUCUCCCAAGGCUUCAAAUGUUUACAAUUGACUUCCAAGGUGUCAAUGGACCUUUACAAUAAGAGAUUAUCUCCCCAAUCUCUUCACCCCAAGUGUUUCUCACACUUGUACACUCACAAUUUGGUAGGAAAUGAAAAUUACAACAAAAACUCUCUUUAAGAGUGGAUAUGCAAAUAAUAGCUCAACAAUGAUUCAAUCUAUGAUGCUUUGCGUUUUGGAAGCUCAAUAUAUGUUGUAUGAUGUUAUAUUUGCUUGCAUUAGUUCUUAGAAUGAAGUUUGAGUUGAGGUUUUAUAGUUAAAGCCCGAAAACUAGCCUUUAUAGGCAAAUUCCCGCGCCCAAGUGGUUAGCCGCUUGAUUUAUCCGGCUAGCCGCUCAGGAACAGUGAUAUUACCGUUAUUUUGAAUUGCUACAGUAAUACUGUUCACUAAAAUUAUACUUUGGCCCAAAACUUUUUAUAAUUAUAUUAAGGCCCCAAACUUCAUAAAACUUUACAAAUAGGUCCAAUUUCAAAAUUUUCUAAAAAUAGUUAUCUUUCCCAAACUUUUUAAAAUUAUGAUAUGGCCCCAAAAAUGUUAUUAUUUUGCAACAAGAUCCUUUUAAACAAAAUACUCAUAUUUUUCAAAGUUCUCAAAUCCUUUCACUUUAGUCCAAAAUAGUCAUAAAUUAUAGUAUGGCCCAAAACAUUUCAAAUGUUUGUAAAAACGUCCAACUCCGAAAUUCAAUAAUAAUACUUAUUAAAAUCAAAGAUUUCAAAACUUUGCAUUUAAGUCCAAAUUUCUCAAAACCACAAGGUACUUUAUCUUAUAAAAAUAAAACUUUUUUAGUUUAUAAAAAGUAAUUAAUUAAAUUAAUCUCUUGAACUUCUCAAAUGCUAAAUCAUGCAUCAAUUAAAUCAUACCGGCUUUAUAAGAAUUUAUCGCACUAAUUUAUCCGUUGAGCUCUAAACUUUUUUCUUGAUUUCGCCAUUGUCCGUUGAGUGUCUUGAGCUUGAUUUCACUUGAUUCACAUGUAUAAAUAUUACCCUUAAAAAAUUAGUAAAAAUGUGAAAUACAAUAUCUAUUAAAUUUACUUAAGACACAUGUUUGUUAUCAUCAAAAUUACAAUGUGUAGCCCUUUAGGCUAACAAUCUCUCCCUUUUUUUAUGAUGACAAACAUCUCAUAUAUUUUGGCAUUUAUACUCCCCCUUAAUACAUGGCAUAUAUAAUUCAACAUAUAAAUCAAAAUUUAAAGAUAAACUCCCUUGAAUAUAUAAUCUAUAACAAUUUGUAAGCUCCCCCUUAAUAUUUUAAAACCAUGCACAAAUACUUCAAGAUCAAAAUACACAUUAUAUGUCUCCAUAUUCAAAAUACAUGAUCUCUCCCCCUUCAUCAUCAAAAUUACUAUAAAUUCAUGUUAAGGCCGAUAAUAUGUCAAUGGUUAAUCGAGAAACAUAUAAUAACCAAACAUCCAAUUAACCAUAAAAUCAUAUUAUAUGCUCCCCCUAAAUAUAUGGCCAAUUUAAAAUUUUAACCAAAAUGAUUUUAUCCAAAAACAUAUUAUAUUUAUCUCCCCCUUUAUCAUAAAAAAUAAAAGAUAGAUAGACGCAAUUCAAAACAAGAUCAUCAAAAAUAAUUCGAUGAAGAUAUUACCCAUUUUGUGCGAGAAAAAAUUUCGACAGAGUCUCCCCUUAAAAAUGAACAAAUCCUCAAAUACACAAUGUGAUUAAAAACAUUUCCAUAUAAGCCUAAACAAGUAUAACAAAUCAACAACUCCACCAAGUCAUCAAGCAACACAUAAGAAUUAAGCAUAUAAUUAACCAAAGAGUUAUAAUAUCCCAAGAAUCUGAAAACAUCAUCCAAAUAUAACAUAUCCGAAGAUCAAAUAAUAAGCAUCCUCAAUCCAUAAAUAAAAACAACAAUGCAUAUGAAAAUGUAGGUGCAUAAUUGAAUAGAGAACCAAGGUAAAAUCCAUAAGGUGAGCACACCAUGGAAUUAGUAAUUAAAAAUACUCAAAAUGCACAAAUUCGGUUUUGUAAAAUAAUGAGAGAAGUGGAUGUGUUUGAGCCAAGAAAAUCGAUCCUAGAGAUGAAUGAAGCUAAUAUAUGAUUUAGAUUGGAUCAAAAUUGGGCUAAAGGACGCUUGAAAAUGAAGAGAGAGAAACAGGUAGAGCUAGGUUUUUUAUUUUGGGUUUUAUGUGGAGAGUUGAUGAAAUGUUGCUUUGAGAGUGAAAAUUUAAGGAGUAAUGGAUGAAUAAUGAUUUGGAUGAUUGAUUUUAACAAGAAAAUGAGUGAAAGAUGAAGAGAUUUGAGAGAGAAAUGGAGAAGUACUGUUCACGCGUGAGAGAUGAUGAUGAAGAAAUGAUGCAGAACAAGUGAAGAAAUGAUGAUUGGGAAGUGUUUAAUGAGAGUGAAAUGCAUGGGUAUUGGUUUGAAUGAUUAAUUUUGGCAUAAAAAUGGUUGAGAAAUGAAGAGAAAUUGAUUGGAAAUGGAAGAGAUUGGCUCAUGGUUUUGGAGAGAGAGGAACGAAGAAGAACAUGUGAAGAAGAAACACAAACCCGUGACCAAGUGGCUAACCGCUUGGGGGCAAGUGGCUAGCCGCUUGCUCUUGGGUUUGAGCAUAUUUCAAGCGGCUAGCCGCUUGAUUCAGGCAGCUAGCCGCCUGGUUUCUGCUCCUCUACACCAAUUUGUUGUCCGGCUGGAAUUUGAGCAAUCCCGAGACCAUUUCGUGAUCCCGAAACAUCUCAAGAGCCAAUUUAAUGCAUGAAUCACUAUAAUUAACAUCCAAAAAAUAUAAAACUCAAAUUUAUAACAUAUUCAUCAUGCAUAUACAUCACAAUUAGGAGAUACGAUAACACUUUAUGGUUGGAAUUAUAAACAUUUAAGACAUGAUUAAUUCACACAUAUAAUUCAUCCAUUAUGCAUAUAUUUUACACAAUCAUUAAACAUAUAUGCAUUCAAAGAUUAAUAAGCAUAUCACUCAUUUAUCAUGCUUAGGCAUUACACAAUCAUUAAAAUCAAACAAAUCCAUCAUGAUGAGUUGACAAGCUAUCAUCAUAUAUAUAUAACCAUGCAUCAUGAUAAAGCACUCAAUGUUAAACACAAUGAUAAUUCAAUCAUGUAAACAUACAAGUAUACUUUCACAAAUUCAAGCUACUAUCCAUUUUUCAUUAUUCACUCAACAUGAUACCAAAUGAAUUAUUAAAUACUUACUAAGCUUAAAAGACCAUCACUUAUAACCAAUAAGGCAAUAAUUGUUACCAAAACAAUUAAAUCAUAUUGUCACAUCAUUUUUGCUUACACCAUGAUCAAGUGAUUAUUCUCAUAAGCUUUUAUCAAGGAACUCUCCGCCAUUCCUUGAUUGUGGUGCCUACAAAAAAUAUUCAAGUUGUGUGCUUUGGUACCCAAAUAUUCUUGGGUCCUUGAGUGUUAGCAAUGGUUCCUUUUGAAACCCAAAUACAUGUUACUCCAUAAUAUGCAUUUCUUUUAACCGGACAUCUAAGCUUCAUGUGACCAUUUUGAUUGCAAUAAUGGCAUACAAUUUGAUCAUUAAUGGAGGUAGUUUUAACAAAAUAACUCUUAUAAUAUUUUUGUUUCAAAUUUGGCUUAUAACCAACACCUCCUUUAUCAAACACACAUUUUUGUGAAUUAAGCAAGUUAUCCAACAUCUUUUGCCCAUUUGUGAAUUUUAACACAAUUUGAUUUAGGUCAUUGCUCUUCUUCUUAAGCACUUCAUUUUCUUUCAUUAAUUCAUCAACAUGUGAUUUCUCAUGCUCAUAUGAAGUACUUUGUUUGCAUUUAAAUUAUGCAAUUCUAUCAUGCAACAUUUUAUUAUCUAACUCUAGUCCUUUAAUCUUUUCAUUUAAUGAAUUAUUGCAUUUUUGUAAAGCAUCCUUUUCAUUUUUCAAGUUAUCUACAUAUGAUUUUAGAUGCUCAUGUGAAGUGCUAGGUUUCUCAUUUGAUAAUGCAACUCUAUCAUGCAAUAUUUUAUUAUCUAAUUCUAGGCAUGUAAUCUUUGCACUUAGAGAUUCAUUCUCAUUUGUGAGCUUUACCAUUUUCUUUUUAAGACAUGCAUUCUUUUUACUAAUUUUUAUCCAAUUAUCAUGCAAUUAUUUAAAAGGAUCAGAUAAUUCAUCAUAAGUAGAAAGAUCAUUUACCUCAUCAAGUUCAUCAUUCGAUUAAUCUCCAAUUGCCAUGAGAGCUAGAUUUGUCAUUUCUUGAUGCUCUUCAUCAUCACUUGUUUCCUCGUCGAUAUCAUCCCAUGUGGCUACCAUUGCUUUCUUCUUGAGCUUGUUGAGAAGAGGGCAUUACAUUCUUAUAUGACCAUGCUUCUUGCACUCAUAACAUUUGAUUACUUCCUUCUUCUCCUUUCGGUUCUUGAGGUCUCUAAAUUUUCUUCGCUCACCGGAUUUCUUAAAACGUUUUCUAAACCUCCUAGCCAGCAUAUCCAUCUCCUCCUCAUCCAGCUCGAUUUCCUCAUCACUCUCAUAUUUCGAGGCUUUGAGAGCAAUGCUUUUCUUCUUCUACUCAUUGCCUCUUUCGGCUGCCAAGUCUUCCUCAUAAGAAAUAAGAGAACCAAUUAAAUCAUCAAUAGGUAAAAUAUUUAAAUCUUUGGCUUCCUCAAUGACAGCCCUUUUUUGUCUCCAUUUCUUAGGUAGCGACCUUAUUAUUUUCUUAACUUUCUCGCUAUUUGAAAAGGUCUUUCCUAGGGCUCCUAGAGUGUUCACUAUGUCUGUAAAUCUAGUAUGGAUAGAAUACACACUCUCAUUUUGUUCCAUUUGAAACAAUUCAUAUUGUCGAGUGUACCUACUAAUUUUAGACUCUUUCACUUGAUUCGUGCCUUCAUAAACAACUUCAAGUUUGUGCAAAAUUUCAUUAGCACUUUCACACCUAGAUACUCUAUGAAACUCUUUCUUAUCUAGUGCACAAAACAAGGCAUUCAUAGCUUUGGAGUUUAGAGAAGCUUUUCUCUUUUCCAAUUCAUUCCAUUCCCGUGAAGGUUUUGGAAUAUCUUCCCCAACUUCAUUUUUAGUCAAAGGCAUAAAUGGACCAUCACAAACAAUUUCUCAAAUUUCAUAAUCUAAAGCUUGCAAAUAAAUUCUCAUCCUAGUUUUCCAAUAUGGGUAGUCAUUACCGUCAAAGAAUGGUGGUCUAAUUGUGGAUUGUCCUUUCCUAAAGGUUGAGUCAUUAUGGGUUGCCAUAGAUCUUUAACUGUAGAUGGUUAAGUCUACACAAGAGCACCUUGCUCUGAUGCCAAAUGAAAUGCAAGUUAUGCAACCCAAGAGGGGGGGUGAAUAGGGAUUUUAAAAUUAUGCAAUACAAUUCGCACAACAAGUUAAUCUAUUGCCUUAAUCAAAUCAAAAAUAAUAAAUUCAAUCAAGCACAAUAUUAAAAGAGUAAAGGAAGAGAAAACAAACACAAGGAUUUUUACGUGGUUCGGCUAUCCCCGCCUACGUCCACGCCUCCAAGCACACCCGGCUUGAGGAUUUCACUAUCCAAGUCUCCCAAGGCUUCAAAUGUUUACAAUUGACUUCCAAGGUGUCAAUGGACCUUUACAAUAAGAGAUUAUCUCCCCAAUCUCUUCACCCCAAGUGUUUCUCACACUUGUACACUCACAAUUUGGUAGGAAAUGAAAAUUACAACAAAAACUCUCUUUAAGAGUGGAUAUGCAAAUAAUAGCUCAACAAUGAUUCAAUCUAUGAUGCUUUGCGUUUUGGAAGCUCAAUAUAUGUUGUAUGAUGUUAUAUUUGCUUGCAUUAGUUCUUAGAAUGAAGUUUGAGUUGAGGUUUUAUAGUUAAAGUCCGAAAACUAGCCUUUAUAGGCAAAUUCCCGCGCCCAAGUGGUUAGCCGCUUGAUUUAUCCGGCUAGCCGCUCAGGAACAGUGAUAUUACCGUUAUUUUGAAUUGCUACAGUAAUACUGUUCACUAAAAUUAUACUUUGGCCCAAAACUUUUUAUAAUUAUAUUAAGGCCCCAAACUUCAUAAAACUUUACAAAUAGGUCCAAUUUCAAAAUUUUCUAAAAAUAGUUAUCUUUCCCAAACUUUUUAAAAUUAUGAUAUGGCCCCAAAAAUGUUAUUAUUUUGCAACAAGAUCCUUUUAAACAAAAUACUCAUAUUUUUCAAAGUUCUCAAAUCCUUUCACUUUAGUCCAAAAUAGUCAUAAAUUAUAGUAUGGCCCAAAACAUUUCAAAUGUUUGUAAAAACGUCCAACUCCGAAAUUCAAUAAUAAUACUUAUUAAAAUCAAAGAUUUCAAAACUUUGCAUUUAAGUCCAAAUUUCUCAAAACCACAAGGUACUUUAUCUUAUAAAAAUAAAACUUUUUUAGUUUAUAAAAAGUAAUUAAUUAAAUUAAUCUCUUGAACUUCUCAAAUGCUAAAUCAUGCAUCAAUUAAAUCAUACUGGCUUUACAAGAAUUUAUCGCACUAAUUUAUCUGUUGAGCUCUAAAUUUUAUUCUUGAUUUCGUCGUUAUCCGUUGAGUGUCUUGAGCUUGAUUUCACUUGAUUCACUUGUAUAAAUAUUACCCUUCAAAAACUAGUGAAAAUGUGAAACACAAUAUCUAUUAAAUUUACUUAAGACACAUGUUUGUUAUCAUCAAAAUUACAAUAUGUGUAGCUCUUUAGGCUAACACUAAUCGCAUUGCCUUGAUUCAGUAUUAAAGCGAAAUCUAGUUUUUCUACCCCAUCAAUUUUUGUUUCUGCUACUCCUCACUUCAUCACUGAUAAGUUCAUCAGAACAAAUGAAAAAGGCCCUUAGAAUUAAAGCCAUUGGAUUAAGGAGUCUAUAUCAAAGAGAUUUGGUCUUAUACUUUCAUCUUAUACUUUAUAAAUACAUUUGAAAAAGAAAAACUCUAAUUGCAACUAAUUUUACAUUUUUUUUCAUUUAAAAGUGAUCAAAUUUAUCUUUCUUUAUUGUGAGGUCUGAUAGAUUCGAUUCAAAUUGUAUUCUUUGCACGAUUAGAUUAAUUGCACUUAGCUAGAACAACAUUAACAAAUAAAUGCUCUCAAAUGAUACAAUACUGAAAAAUAUAAAUGGUUACAAAUUAGAUUUAUUAUUAUUUUGGAGGUUUGAGUAAGUUGAAAAAUAUAAACGGUUACAAAAUAUAUUCAUUAUUAUUUUGGAGGUUUGAGUAAGUUGAAGCAUCUCGGCUUAAGUGGUAAUUAACAAACUCAACCUCAAUUGUAGUGUUUUAUCUUCUCCAUCUUCGUUAAGAGAAUUAUAUGGGAUUCAAAGGAAUUUUUUAUGUUCAAGGUAAUUAAGCCUAAUGUCACGGGAUGAGUGUUUUGCGCAACGAACUUGUGUGGUACUUAGACAACCUUUGCCGAAUGUUGCUAAGUAAGCCUUGAGCUUCUCGACUAGCUAAGCUUAAAGGUUUUCGAAGAGCUAGAGAGAAGAGAGCAAUGGAGCCAAAUGAGAGAAAUUGUAUUACUCGCAAAGAGAUUACAAGAGAGCUUACAAGCGUGUUUGAGUUGCUUGCUCAAAGCUUGAUGCUCAAAUGCUAAAUGUCAUGCCCUAUUUAUAGGGGAGGCUUACCAAGCUCAAAAGCUCUAGAGAAUUCUACCACUUGCCUAGAAUUCUAGAUAUUUACAUGUGCUAGAAAUGUGUAGAGAAUUAUAAAUAUGUACAAGCUUGAGUGUGCUAGAGUUACCUAGAAAUUUCCAGAAUCGGGCCAAGCUAGCACUCUUAGCCUUGCCUUGGGCUCUUUAGCCCGAAUUUGUAGACAAUUGGGCUAGCAACUUGGGCGGUCCUGCUUCUCAUGUUAUCUACUACCUAAAUUUAUAGAUCUUCAACAAUAUUUAAUAUUUUGAUUAGUUUAGAGGAAUCAAAUUCUAACAGGCUUUAUUAAGCAAACUUUCAUUUACUAUAUCAAUUAAUGAAUUCAUACCUAUAGUACUUUUUUUUUAAGUUUUAGCCUAAUUGCAACCUACAUUUUAUUAAAUUAAAUAUGUAAGUAGAAACAUAAUAUUGAUAGACUAAAUUUUAUAAUAACUAGAAACAUAAUACUAAAAUAAAUAUAUAAAAUUUAAAUUAUUUUAAAUAUUGUAAAAUAAUUUUUUUAUUAUUAUUAAUACAUGAGAUAAAAUCUAUUUAACCCAAAGAUUUAUCUAAAAUUUGUAUAAUAAAUUUAAAUAUAUUAUUAAAAUAAAUAUAAUAAUUUAAAUGCUAAGACUUAUUUUAUAUAUAAUUUUUUUAAUAUUAUUAGUGUAUUAGAUAAAUUAAACUAUUUAAAUCAUAUUUGUAUUUAUUAAAAACUUUUAAAGUCAAACUUUUUAGUUACUAUUUACCAUGAGUAUUAUAGUUAAAAGAGGUCUUGGUGUCUCCUGACAUGACUUAAAAUGUGUUCGAUUUUCUCCCAAGUAUAAGAGUGCCUAGUUAUAAUUUAUCUCGGUGAGUCCGAGGUCGAUCCACCGAGAAAGGAUUUAAUUUGUUUACUUAAGUUUAUCCAAUAAAAAUAAAAUUUAUAAAUAUGUAAUUUAUUUAAGAAAAAGUAUAAAAUUGAAUUAGUUAGGGUUGACAUGACUUAAAAGUGUAUUACUCUCAAGUAUAAGAGUGUCUAAUUAUAAUAUAACCUGGUGAGUCUAGGGUCGAACCACAUGGAAUUUUAAAAUCUAGUUGUCAAUUUAUUAAACAUAGAAAAUUAAUUGCGGGGUAAAGAAAUUAUUUGAAAUUGAUUUAAAAAUAAGCUAAGGUUUGGGAUCCACUCUCUGUAUUAUCUCAAAAUAUCAUACAGAUCCAAAGAAAUUUAUAAAUUAACAUGACAUAAAAAUAACCAGAAAAGAAUAAAAUAAACUUAAAAACUCAUUUGAGAAAAUAAGAUAUUAAGAAUUUAAUGUGUCAAAACUUAAUUUGUCUACACUAAAUCAAAAUUCCAUUUUUCCAUAUUUUAUACUAAGAUAUUAAGAAUUCAUUGUGCCAAUUUCCUAUUUUUGUCUACAAUAAAUCAAAAUUUCAAAAUAUAAAAUAUGGAUAAAAUUAAAUAGAAAACAAUUUAAUUUAUAAAAUUAAAAAUAGAAUUUGAUUAAACCAUAUUUUUACUAAGAGUUUCACUUUCCCCUAACUACUAAUAUUUAGUUAAACAUAUUUAAAAUAAAAGGAAUUUUCUUUAAAAACAAAAAAGACAUAAUUAAAAAAUGCUUGAAAAUUGAAAAUAAAACUAAUUUUAUUUAUUGAAAAUAUAAUACAAAGAGGGAUGAGAAGAAGAAUUUGGGGGAAAAGAAGAGAAGAGAAGAUGUGGAGAGGUGUGUUCACCCCCCCUUUAUUUAUACUAAUACAUGGUAAAUCCUCACCACACAAAUAAAAAAAAUCUAAUUACAUCUUAACCUUACAUUUGACCCACUAAUAAAACAUAAACCUAACUUAUCCACUCAAGCAUAUCCAACACAUUCCACUAAUAAUUACCAUACCUAACAUUAUAAAAACUUAUAAUUUUACAAUUACCACAUUUACCAUGGUAAAAACAUAAAAAUUUAAAACAAAAGUCUUGGAUCCUCCUGGACAAUGACAUAAUUUCUCGGACUUCCGGAAUCUAAAUUUGACAUCCAUACAUUUGUUCGAAGCCUCAAAUUCCGGAAUCUAAAAACUUUGGUUCUAUAUGAUUAUCUCCCCUAACUUUGGGGGUGUGGCUGUUUUUUUUCCUUCAUUUUAUUAAUAAGUUUAAUUAAUAAAGAGUAAUGAUAGAAAUCCCAAUUUUUUUAAUACCAAAUGAUGGGCAUUCAUUCAUUGGUUGAUAAUUCUUUACAAAUUCAAGUGAAUUAAUUGUAUUAUCUCACCAACCAAUUGAUAAAUGUCAAUAAUUUGAAAUAGUUAUUUAGGAUAAAAAAUUUGAGGUUUAUAACACUACUCAUUAAUAAAAGAAUGAGGGAAGGUUUGUCCAAGUCAUGCAUUAUUUGAUUAUCAUCAAUCAAGAAAGUGAUCAAAUUAAUUUCUCUCCAUGAUUUCCAAAAGCUAGAAAAUUUUGUUACUUGAAAUUGGAAAAUAACAUCAUUAAUAUAGAAUGGAUCAAAAUCGCAUUAUUAUCUUUCAUGAAAUUGAUGUAUAUCAAGAGUCAUAUUCUUUACUUUUGACAAUUUAGUCAACACCAAAUUGAACUUUCUUAUUUUUACUAUUGUUAUGUUAACUUUUUUUGAUCCCCGAUUAUUUAUUCAUGAUUAUUACAUCAUUAAUUAGAGUUUAUCAAACCGCAUUUUUUUCCUUCAUGGAAUUGAUGCAUGUUAGGUCAAUGUUUGGCAUGCCACAUUGCGUAGGACAAUUGGUCGCCCUCGUAUUGAUUGAAAAGAAUCUCAUGUUUGGCAAUUCAAAUGGUGCGCAGCACACCAGACUUAAUGCUGCAUUUGCCUUAUUAUUGAAACCCAUCAACCCCCUCGGAAUUAAGGUGUGCAACAUUCAUUUUUAAGAAUAAAAUCUUAAGGUUUUCAGAAAUGGUUAUAUAAAUCCUCAAUAAGGGACUCUAAAAUCCCUUGCUGACUAAAAUACCAUUUGGUUCUAUCAAUUUAAAAAAUUUGACUCCAAUAUUUUAUAAUAAAUAAAAAUAUAACAUUAAAAAAAAUAAUUUAUAUUUUAAAAAUAUUGUAUAUAUUACAAUGAAUAUAAUAUUAUUAUUCUACUAGACAAAUUAAACUAUCUAGAUUAUAUUUAUAUUCAUUAAAAAAAUUUAAAAUCAAUUUUUUUAAUUUCUAUCUACUAAAGAUAUUAUAGUUAAAAAGGGGUUUCUUAAAAAUUUAGGUGUCUACGUAACCAUUUCCGUUGAUCAAAUCAAAGCUUCCGUCCUCCUAGAUCUAUGGUCAAAAUUUGGAACCCCAAAAACUUGACCAUAUAUUUACAGCUAAUGAAAGCUGCUUUUUUGGUGAUACAUGUAUCGUUGCAUAGAUUUGGUGAUAAUAAUUCCAAUGGUGAAAAAAUGAUACCAAUAGAUGCCAAAAUGUGAUUGGAGCGGGUGGCUUGUGGUGGCCAACGGUGGAUAAUUAUAAAAUCUAAAUAAUAGAUUUAAGAAAAUAAGACCAAAAACAUUUAAGAUAUUAAUAAUUAUUAAAAAUUAAUUUAAUAUAAAUAAUAAUUUAAAAAAUAUUAUUAUAUAUAGUGCUAUACAAUGCAACACCAAACAUUGAAUAUUAUUAAAGUAAUACAACGUUAAUACAAUAUAGCUUACUGCAAUACAUUUUGUAUUAAAAAAUAUAAUAUAGUAUGUCAAACACACCCUUAGUGUCACACUUUUUAAACAACCUCGGGCUGCUCUUUUUUUUUUUUUUUUGAAUUAACGAUUUCGUCAUUAACUUAAUUUGAUCAGUUAAACUAUUAAGUCUGUUUGUUUUUUCAACAUAAUGAAAAUUUUCAGUCAUUAAGUUAUUAUAUUAUUAAUCAAACUCUUUUAGCUUUUUGCUUAAUUUUAAAAAGUUUUAAUGAUAUCAUUAAAGAAUAUUCUCUAGAUACCCUAUCUAAUUAAUUAAUUUUCAUCCUUACCUAAGUAAAAUCUAAUACUUUUCAUUAUUACCAUCUUUAUAACUUGUGACAAUAUGGCGAUAGACUAUUAUUAUUUUUAUUUUUUACUUUCUUCAAAUUAGCAUUAUUUAUCUUCAUAAUUUUUUAUGAAUAUUUGUUGUAAAAAAAAUCAUGAACUACAAUAAAAUUGAUUAACAUAUACAAAUUUAGAAUUUAAAGUAUCUUAUUCAAUUGAACACGAUUUAUGUUAUGAUAAUAUAUAAUCUUACCUAAGUUGUUUGAAUAUUUAUUGUUUGUUUAACAUUCAUAAAUUUUAAGGGGACAAUGUAAAAAUAUUAAUUUUCAGAUUUUUUUUAAAUUUAAAAAAUAUAGCUUAAUAUUUGUAUUCAGUAAUUCAACAAAAAGUAAUAUGAGCAUAUUAUUCAUAUUCAGACAUUCAGUUCAAUUCAAAAUUCUGACUAAUUAAGGUCUAUUCAAAAUUUUUGACAAAAAAAAAAAGGCCACCCUAAUUGACAUGAACUUUUUUAUUUUAAAAAUAAAAAAGAUCUUUGGAUUUCAACCCAUUUGUUUGGCUUAAAGAGCCAGUAUUCUUACUAGGGGUGUUCAGAAUCAAUUCAAUCCGCUCAAUCGUCUGAUCGUGAAAUCGAUCCGUGAUCAUGAUGAUAUGAAUUGAAAAAUAAAAAUCUGCAGUCGAUGAUGGAUAUGGAUUACUUCUUUAAAUCGUAAAAUCCAUAAAUCUGCAAUAUAUAUAUAUAUAUAUAUAUAUAUAUAUAUAUAGUUAAAAAUUUAUUAUAAAUUUAAUUAAAGAAUAUUAUAAAUGUGACAUUACAUAGUUACAUAAGCACUAUAACAUAUCUUAGCCAUUACCCAAUAAUAAUAUUAAAUAAAAAAUAAUUAAAUAAUCAAAUAUACAAAUAUAACUUGUAAAAAUUGUAAAACAAAAUAAAAGCAAAGUCACACGCACUGGCAAAAGUAAAGUAACAUAACGCCAAGUUACCAACAAUUUGCAAAGUCACCCAAAAGCAAAGUAACGUAAUGCCAAGUCACCAAUAAUUUACAAACAAAAAAUCUUAAGCUUCCCCGCUGUCACACGCACUAGCAACACCGAAUACUGGUUCGAUACACUCUCGACACCGUUUUGAAGGACAUCGGCCGCGUGAUUCCAGCGAAAGCAAGCCAUCUUCUUCCCUGAAUCCAUCGAGCCACUUAACAAUCACUAGUUCCAGCCAAAUAAUUGCACUAUCACAACCUUCAAGAUCGCCACCCGUACUUCUCCUGGUUCCCAUCGUUGACGGCUCCAUAAUUACCACUUUUCGACAAGUGCAAUAGCUGUGGUCAAGGAUCAAAUUGUGUUUGGUUUCAUAAACUUCACUAUUUCAAUUAAUUGUGGCUUUAUUUGAACAAUUAAUUUCGGUGUUAUGUUAAUGUAUUAUUGUAACUUUCUUUGAAUAAUUAAUUUUAGUGUGUUAUAUUUUGAAACUUUAAACGUAUUAUUGUAGCUUCAUUUAAACAAUUAAUCUUGAUGUACUAUAUUUUUGAAACUUUGAAUGUAUUAUUUUAGUUUUAUUUAAAUAAUUAAUUUGUUUAAAUUUUAUUCAAUUUUAAAUUUAAUUGGUAGUAAAAUUAUUUCAUAUUAGAUUUUUUUUUAUUUCAUUUGUUCAUGGAUUGGGGAAAACUAAAAAUUUUUAAUUCGGAAACUAAUGCGCAAAAUGGUGGAUUGGAUAUGAAUUAAGUUAAAUCCGCAUUCAAUCCACAGAUGUAUGGAUUGGAUAUAGAUUGAGUCAAAUCCGCAUCCGAUCUGCAGAUGUAUUGAUUGGAUUUGGAUUGAGUUUAAUCAAUCCGUGGAUUAGAUUGGAUUGAAAAAUUAUAAUCUGUAAAAUUAUGGAUCGGAUAUGGAUUGAUGUCUAAUCCAUAAAAUCCGAUCCGCGAACACCCCUGAUUCUUACCAUUUGAAUUAGCCUUCGCCUCAACUUCAACUUUAUUCUUUCCAUGCAACCUUGGUCGAUAUCAACUUGAAUUUUGCUAUGUUAAUUAUUUCAAUCCCCCACAUUAUGCAGUCUUUGUAGUGUAAACUUAAUUUCACACCUAAAUAAGUUGAUGAUCAUUACUCAACCAUUAAUAUUUCAAAAAGUCAUUUCACCAUCCAUGCUAUUAGUUUUUCCCUUAAAUUUAACUAUUGACUAUUUUACCAUCUUAAAGUAUAUAAUUAUGCCUUUAAUUAUGUGAUACAAUUAUGAGAAUAUUCAUUUCAGCUUAAAAUAACUAGAAUACCCAAAAAAAUAACUUA